AUUCAGAGGCGUCAGCAUUUGUGAUAUCAGCAUCCAAGUCGACUUCUUCAAUAUCGUGAUCUUCUACUUCUUCAUUAUCACCAUCCAUAUCGUCCAUUUCGCCUUCUUCAGGAAAGCUCCCACUUCCCAAUUCUUCUUCAUCCAACUCAGUGUCUUGAUUAGCCUCUUCGCGCUCUUGCUCUUCCAAAUCAAGCUGCUCUUGCAUAGACCUAUUUAAUCCAAUGGGCCGAAUAGUGCGAAAUCCAAACUGUUUAAUUGCAAGCUCCUAAGAUUCGUUCAAGUUAGACUUUUCUCAUGCACAGAAACUCGUUGAAAAUCGUAAACAAACAUACCUGAGUCUCCAGUCUAACUUCUUCCUUUUCCAAUUCUUUCAUAGAAGGAAAAGACGUAGGAUACCAUAGUUGAUGGGCUGUAUUAGCCAUCAACGACAUAA